GCUACUCACAUUAUCAUGAUCCAUGUGCCGAAGCAGCUUGAUCUCUCGCAGGGUGCGCUUGGCGUCGAUCUGGUUGUCGAACGCGUUGCCGAUCUUCUUGAUUGCCACCUCCUGACGAGUCUGCGCAUUCACAACCGCACUGCGCAAUUAACAAUCCAGAGGAGGAAGAAUCAGAAUUAGAUGGAGAUGAACUGAAGUGAAAGUCUGAAACUGACCAGAUGAUGCCGCAGGCGCCGCGGCCGACGGGGCGGAUGGGAGGGACGUACUUGGACGAAACCUCGAACAGGUUACCAUACACGUUGUACUGCACGUACCUCCCGCCGUGCGUCAGCGUCCCCUUGAUCUGCGCCUCCCCUCCUCCGAUGCCACCGUGAUGGCCAUGGCCACCGCCGCCGCCGCCGUGAUGGCCAUGGCCGCCGCCGCCGCCGCCCUCCAUGCGCAUCGAUCGAUCGCCGCCCAAGA
rnacentral:sRNA from 1 species